rnacentral:rRNA from 1 species
GACAGAGGGUGCAAACGUUGUUCGGAUUUACUGGGCGUAAAGCGCGUGUAGGCGGCUUGGCAAGUCGGAUGUGAAAGCCCACGGCUCAACCGUGGAAGCGCAUCCGAAACUGCUUCGCUCGAGUCUCGGAGAGGAAGGUGGAAUGCUUGGUGUAGAGGUGAAAUUCGUAGAUAUCAAGCAGGACACCUGCGGCGAAGGCGGCCUUCUGGACGAUGACUGACGCUGAGACGCGAAAGCGUGGGGAGCAAACAGG